rnacentral:rRNA from 1 species
UGCCAGCCGCCGCGGUAAUACGAAGGGGGUUAGCGUUGUUCGGAAUUACUGGGCGUAAAGCGCGCGUAGGCGGAUUGGAAAGUUGGGGGUGAAAUCCCGAGGCUCAACCUCGGAACUGCCUCCAAAACUCCCAGUCUAGAGUUCGAGAGAGGUGAGUGGAAUUCCAAGUGUAGAGGUGAAAUUCGUAGAUAUUUGGAGGAACACCAGUGGCGAAGGCGGCUCACUGGCUCGAUACUGACACUGAGGAACGAAAGCAUGGGUAGCGAAGAGGAUUAGAUA